rnacentral:rRNA from 1 species
UGCGUCGGAACGUACCGAGUAAUGGGGGAUAACGCGGCGAAAGUCGCGCUAAUACCGAAUACGCCCUGAGGGGGAAAGCGGGGGAUCGCAAGACCUCGCGUUAUUCGAGCGGCCGACGUCUGAUUAGCUAGUUGGUGGGGUAAAGGCUCACCAAGGCGACGAUCAGUAGCGGGUCUGAGAGGAUGAUCCGCCACACUGGGACUGAGACACGGCCCAGACUCCUACGGGAGGCAGCAGUGGGGAAUUUUGGACAAUGGGGGCAACCCUGAUCCAGCCAUUCCGCGUGAGUGAAGAAGGCCUUCGGGUUGUAAAGCUCUUUCAGCUGGAGCGAAACGGUACGCUCUAACAUAGCGUGCUAAUGACGGUACCAGCAGAAGAAGCACCGGCUAACUACGUG